rnacentral:tRNA from 1 species
GGGCGGUUAGCUCAGUGGUAGAGCACUGCCUUCACACGGCAGGGGUCACAAGUUCAAGCCUUGUACCGCCCACCA